rnacentral:rRNA from 1 species
UACGAAGGGGGCUAGCGUUGUUCGGAAUUACUGGGCGUAAAGCGCGCGCAGGCGGCCUUUCAAGUCAGGGGUGAAAGCCCCGGAGCUCAACUCCAGAACUGCCUUUGAUACUGAGGAUCUUGAGUUCGGGAGAGGUGAGUGGAACUGCGAGUGUAGAGGUGAAAUUCGUAGAUAUUCGCAAGAACACCAGUGGCGAAGGCGGCUCACUGGCCCGAUACUGACGCUGAGGCACGAAAGCGUGGGGGAGCAAACAGG